AAAGAGGACAGUUUUACAUUGUUCAUAUCUAACGUUUAACCAUCCGUUUUAUUUAAAAAAAUUUUAUGAUUAGUAUUUUUGUUGUUAUUUUUACGUGUGACUAAUUUUUUUUUAAUUUGUAAUAUUUUUUAAAUGAAACGGAUGAUUAAACAUUGAAUACGAAAAUCUACAAUUACACUUAAU
rnacentral:pre_miRNA from 1 species